rnacentral:rRNA from 1 species
UAUCCUGUCUGAAUAUGGGGGGACCAUCCUCCAAGGCUAAAUACUCCUGACUGACCGAUAGUGAACCAGUACCGUGAGGGAAAGGCGAAAAGAACCCCGGCGAGGGGAGUGAAAAAGAACCUGAAACCGUGUACGUACAAGCAGUGGGAGCCUCUUUAUGGGGUGACUGCGUACCUUUUGUAUAAUGGGUCAGCGACUUAUAUUCUGUAGCAAGGUUAACCGAAUAGGGGAGCCGAAGGGAAACCGAGUCUUAACUGGGCGUUAAGUUGCAGGGUAUAGACCCGAAACCCGGUGAUCUAGCCAUGGGCAGGUUGAAGGUUGGGUAACACUAACUGGAGGACCGAACCGACUAAUGUUGAAAAAUUAGCGGAUGACUUGUGGCUGGGGGUGAAAGGCCAAUCAAACCGGGAGAUAGCUGGUUCUCCCCGAAAGCUAUUUAGGUAGCGCCUCGUGAAUUCAUCUCCGGGGGUAGAGCACUGUUUCGGCAAGGGGGUCAUCCCGACUUACCAACCCGAUGCAAACUGCGAAUACCGGAGAAUGUUAUCACGGGAGACACACGGCGGGUGCUAACGUCCGUCGUGAAGAGGGAAACAACCCAGACCGCCAGCUAAGGUCCCAAAGUCAUGGUUAAGUGGGAAACGAUGUGGGAAGGCCCAGACAGCCAGGAUGUUGGCUUAGAAGCAGCCAUCAUUUAAAGAAAGCGUAAUAGCUCACUGGUCGAGUCGGCCUGCGCGGAAGAUGUAACGGGGCUAAACCAUGCACCGAAGCUGCGGCAGCGACACUAUGUGUUGUUGGGUAGGGGAGCGUUCUGUAAGCCUGUGAAGGUGUGCUGUGAGGUAUGCUGGAGGUAUCAGAAGUGCGAAUGCUGACAUAAGUAACGAUAAAGCGGGUGAAAAGCCCGCUCGCCGGAAGACCAAGGGUUCCUGUCCAACGUUAAUCGGGGCAGGGUGAGUCGACCCCUAAGGCGAGGCCGAAAGGCGUAGUCGAUGGGAAACAGGUUAAUAUUCCUGUACUUGGUGUUACUGCGAAGGGGGGACGGAGAAGGCUAUGUUGGCCGGGCGACGGUUGUCCCGGUUUAAGCGUGUAGGCUGGUUUUCCAGGCAAAUCCGGAAAAUCAAGGCUGAGGCGUGAUGACGAGGCACUACGGUGCUGAAGCAACAAAUGCCCUGCUUCCAGGAAAAGCCUCUAAGCAUCAGGUAACAUCAAAUCGUACCCCAAACCGACACAGGUGGUCAGGUAGAGAAUACCAAGGCGCUUGAGAGAACUCGGGUGAAGGAACUAGGCAAAAUGGUGCCGUAACUUCGGGAGAAGGCACGCUGAUAUGUAGGUGAAGUCCCUUGCGGAUGGAGCUGAAAUCAGUCGAAGAUACCAGCUGGCUGCAACUGUUUAUUAAAAACACAGCACUGUGCAAACACGAAAGUGGACGUAUACGGUGUGACGCCUGCCCGGUGCCGGAAGGUUAAUUGAUGGGGUUAGCGGUAACGCGAAGCUCUUGAUCGAAGCCCCGGUAAACGGCGGCCGUAACUAUAACGGUCCUAAGGUAGCGAAAUUCCUUGUCGGGUAAGUUCCGACCUGCACGAAUGGCGUAAUGAUGGCCAGGCUGUCUCCACCCGAGACUCAGUGAAAUUGAACUCGCUGUGAAGAUGCAGUGUACCCGCGGCAAGACGGAAAGACCCCGUGAACCUUUACUAUAGCUUGACACUGAACAUUGAGCCUUGAUGUGUAGGAUAGGUGGGAGGCUUUGAAGUGUGGACGCCAGUCUGCAUGGAGCCGACCUUGAAAUACCACCCUUUAAUGUUUGAUGUUCUAACGUUGGCCCCUGAUCGGGGUUGCGGACAGUGUCUGGUGGGUAGUUUGACUGGGGCGGUCUCCUCCUAAAGAGUAACGGAGGAGCACGAAGGUUGGCUAAUCCUGGUCGGACAUCAGGAGGUUAGUGCAAUGGCAUAAGCCAGCUUGACUGCGAGCGUGACGGCGCGAGCAGGUGCGAAAGCAGGUCAUAGUGAUCCGGUGGUUCUGAAUGGAAGGGCCAUCGCUCAACGGAUAAAAGGUACUCCGGGGAUAACAGGCUGAUACCGCCCAAGAGUUCAUAUCGACGGCGGUGUUUGGCACCUCGAUGUCGGCUCAUCACAUCCUGGGGCUGAAGUAGGUCCCAAGGGUAUGGCUGUUCGCCAUUUAAAGUGGUACGCGAGCUGGGUUUAGAACGUCGUGAGACAGUUCGGUCCCUAUCUGCCGUGGGCGCUGGAGAACUGAGGGGGGCUGCUCCUAGUACGAGAGGACCGGAGUGGACGCAUCACUGGUGUUCGGGUUGUCAUGCCAAUGGCACUGCCCGGUAGCUAAAUGCGGAAGAGAUAAGUGCUGAAAGCAUCUAAGCACGAAACUUGCCCCGAGAUGAGUUCUCCCUGACUCCUUGAGAGUCCUGAAGGAACGUUGAAGACGACGACGUUGAUAGGCCGGGUGUGUAAGCGCAGCGAUGCGUUGAGCUAACCGGUACUAAUGAACCGUGAG